UGGCUAUGUGGACCCUCCUGGGAACUGCCUUGCCCCACAACGGCACAAGAGUAGUUUGUCAGCAGCUGAGCAACCCGAGAGCACUCUCUGCCGUCCUGCAUGUUUAUGAUACUGGUGCAACCAAUGUCCUUCUCAUUGGCUGUAUUCUUGGGGGAUUCUUUGGAGUCCUGUUAGUAGCAGCUUUGUUAUACACCUUCCUGGUCAAAUCUGAGUCCUUCCAGGAAUGUUUCGGUGGGGAAGAAACCGAAGAUGAUAUGACCACUAUUGUAUCAACGGAACAAAAGAAGAAAUCAAGUCAGGAUGUGACAGACUGAAAAUAGAUACACAAACUGUUUCUAUUUUGUUACCAGGCUAACUAAA